rnacentral:rRNA from 1 species
GUGGCGCACGGGUGAGUAACACGUGAAUGACAUGCCCUUCAGAGGGGGAUAGCCCAGGGAAACUUGGAUUAAUACCCCAUGGUCUCGCAAGAGUAAAGGUGGCGCAAGCUGCCGCUGAGGGAUUGGUUCGCGCCCUAUCAGCUAGUUGGUGAGGUAACGGCUCACCAAGGCGAUGACGGGUACUUGGUCUGAGAGGACGAUCAGGCACACUGGAACUGAGACACGGUCCAGACACCUACGGGUGGCAGCAGUCGAGAAUAAUUCACAAUGGGGGCAACCCUGAUGGUGCAACGCCGCGUGGAGGAUGAAGGUCUUCGGAUUGUAAACUCCUGUCAUCCGGGAGAAAGACCUGGCUGUGAAUAGCAGACAGGGUUGAUAGUACCGGAAGAGGAAGGGACGGCUAACUUCGUGCCAGCAGCCGCGGUAAUACGAAGGUCCCGAGCGUUGUUCGGAAUCACUGGGCGUAAAGGGAGCGUAGGCGGUUUGGUAAGUCAGAUGUGAAAUCCCGGGGCUCAACCCCGGAACUGCAUCCGAUACUGCCAGACUUGAGCAGUGGAGAGGUAGCUGGAAUUAUCGGUGUAGCAGUGAAAUGCGUAGAUAUCGAUAGGAACACUCGUGGCGAAAGCGAGCUACUGGACAUUUGCUGACGCUGAGGCUCGAAGGCUAGGGGAGCGAAAGGGAUUAGAUACCCCUGUAGUCCUA